rnacentral:rRNA from 1 species
AGUGAACGCUGGCGGUGGGCUUAACACAUGCAAGUCGAACGGCAGCACCGUAAGAGCUUGCUCUUCUGGGUGGCCGGUGGCGUACGGGACAGGUAUAUAUCCGACUCUACUCUUUCGUGUGGGUUAACGUAACGAAACCUACGCUAAGACCGCAUACCACCUUCGGGGGAAAGCAGGGGAACUUCUCGCCUUGCGGGGUUGAAUGAGCGGCUGUGGGAUUUGCUAGUUGGCGGGGUAAUGGCCCAGCAAGGCGACGAUCCGUAGCUGGUCUGAGUGGACGGUAGGCCGCACGGGAGCGGGGACGGGGUCCAGACUCCUACGAGAGGCAGCAGUGGGGAAUGUUGGACAAUGGGCGCAAGCCUGACCCAGCCAUACCGAGUGUGUGGAGGAAGCCUUCGGGUUGUAAAGCCCUUUUGUUGGGAAAGAAACGCAGCAGGUUAAUACCCCGCUGUACUGACGGUACCGAAAGAAUAAGCACCGGCUAACUACGUG